rnacentral:rRNA from 1 species
AUUGAACGCUGGCGGCAGGCUUAACACAUGCAAGUCGAACGAGUGGCGGACGGGUGAGUAAUUCUUGGGAAUCUCCCUCAUGGAGGGGGAUAACUACGGGAACCUGUAGCUAAUACCGCGUACCAUCGGAUGUGCCCAAGUGGGAUUAGGUAGUGGGUGAGGUAAAGGCUCACCAAGCCGACGAUCUCUAGCUGGUCUGAGAGGAUGACCAGCCACACGGGGAUUGAGACACGGCCCAGACUCCUACGGGAGGCAGCAGUGGGGAAUAUUGCACAAUGGGGGCAACCUGACGCAGCCAGGCCGAGUGAAUGAAGAAGGCCUUCGGGUUGUAAGGUUCUUUCGGUAGCGAGGCGUUAACUACAGAAGAAGCACCGGCUAACUCCGUGCCAGCAGCCGCGGUAAUAC